rnacentral:rRNA from 1 species
GAUGAACGCUGGCGGCGUGCCUAAUACAUGCAAGUCGAGCGAACAGACGAGGAGCUUGCUCCUCUGACGUUAGCGGCGGACGGGUGAGUAACACGUGGAUAACCUACCUAUAAGACUGGGAUAACUUCGGGAAACCGGAGCUAAUACCGGAUAAUAUAUUGAACCGCAUGGUUCAAUAGUGAAAGACGGUUUUGCUGUCACUUAUAGAUGGAUCCGCGCCGCAUUAGCUAGUUGGUAAGGUAACGGCUUACCAAGGCAACGAUGCGUAGCCGACCUGAGAGGGUGAUCGGCCACACUGGAACUGAGACACGGUCCAGACUCCUAAGGGAGGCAGCAGUAGGGAAUCUUCCGCAAUGGGCGAAAGCCUGACGGAGCAACGCCGCGUGAAUGAUGAAGGUCUUCGGAUCGUAAAACUCUGUUAUUAGGGAAGAACAAAUGUGUAAGUAACUAUGCACGUCUUGACGGUACCUAAUCAGAAAGCCACGGCUAACUACGUG